rfam:Halomonas sp. S2151 contig0080, whole genome shotgun sequence.
GCGCCCGUAGCUCAGCUGGAUAGAGUACCUGACUACGAAUCAGGUGGUCGGAGGUUCGAAUCCUCCCGGGCGCG